rnacentral:lncRNA from 1 species
GCCGGCUUUUCCUUCUCCAGCCUUAUUGCUAACUCUCUAAAGGUCCCUACAAGUGGCUUUCGUGGAGCGAUCACGUGGCCCCUGCCCCCUCGCGUUCUGGGUCCAUUUAUAUUUAUUAUGCUAAUAUUUAGAAAGAGAAGGCCAAGUGGCGCGCCGAAGGAAACGCCUCAGGCAGUUACAACCCGCAUAAGUUGAGCGUUUACCACACGCCAGGCGCUGCUCCACGAUCCGUACAAUCUCAUUUAACCCCUGCAACAAUUCCCCACUACGAUCCUCUUUCUAUAGGUAGGGAAACUGAGGCUCACAGCAGCUGCGUAGUUUACCUUAAGGUGGAACCAAAAUUCAAUUGCAGUGGUGUAUUCUGGGGUCCGAGGUCUUAAACCCUACUCUGCUCCCUUAUCAGGAUUCAGGCUCAGGGAAUGAAUAAACCCGGGACAGCUAGGAGAAGGGAGGAGGUGCGCUCCUGUCGCCGGCUAGUAGGCCUGAAGAUAAAUCACUCUAUUCAGCAAGAUUUGGGUGGCAGAUGCUAUUUACCUUUGUUCUGUCUCUUUGAAGCAGCGCAGGGAUUUUCCAGAGAAAUCUUGACAGAUGAAUGUUUAUCCUCCAGGUUUUUUGGUGAUCAGAGGUCAAACUAUUCUCAGCCUGUUUUUAAUAUAAACAAUUCUCUGGGAUAAUUUUGACUGUGAAACGGCCACCUCUAACAGAAAGUCCAUUUUAAACAUUGUUUUGUUGUUUUUGUUUUGUUUUGACUGUGCUGAAUAAAAUGUUUCUUUUAUUCUAAAAUGUUUUCUCAGCUGAAAUUUUCAAGUCUGUUUCUGUCCGUAAGUGAUUUGACUUUCUAUGUAUUAGAUGGUAAUGAGGAAAUUGCAGGUUUUCCAGUCUACAUCUAUUUUUAAAAUUCUGAGCAUAAAGAAUAUUUUAUUAUAAAUUGUUUUGCUUACUUGUAUAAUAGUUUCCUUCAUAAUUAAAUAAGCUCCUUUAACUUUUCACAUAUAGGGCCUAU